CCUACGGGUGGCAGCAGUGGGGAAUAUUGCACAAUGGAGGGAACUCUGAUGCAGCGACGCCGCGUGAGUGAAGAAGUAAUUCGUUAUGUAAAGCUCUAUCAGCCGGGAAGAAAGUGACGGUACCUGAAAAAGAAGCUCCGGCUAAAUACGUGCCAGCAGCCGCGGUAAUACGUAUGGAGCAAGCGUUAUCCGGAUUUACUGGGUGUAAAGGGAGAGUAGGUGGCAGAGCAAGUCCGAAGUGAAAACCCAAAGCUCAACAAGGGGAAUGCUUUAGAAACUGCUCAGCUAGAGUGCAGGAGAGGCAAGUGGAAUUCUUAGUGUAGCGGUGAAAUGCGUAGAUAUUAGGAGGAAUACCGUUAGCGAAGGCGGCAAUCUGGCUGGAAACUGACGCUGAGGUGCGAAAGCGUGGGUAGCAAACAGGAUUAGAUACCCUAGUAGUC
rnacentral:rRNA from 1 species